rnacentral:rRNA from 1 species
ACCCCUACGGGGGGCAGCAGUGGGGAAUAUUGCACAGUGGGGGAAACCCUGAUGCAGCCAUGCCGCGUGUGUGAAGAAGGCCUUCGGGUUGUAAAGCACUUUCAGUCGUGAGGAAAGGGUUGUAGUUAAUACCUGCAAUCUGUGACGUUAGCGACAGAAGAAGCACCGGCUAACUCCGUGCCAGCAGCCGCGGUAA